CGAUGGUAAAUUAAUUGCACAAUUUUUCCAUGCAUACUUUCGAGCAGCAUUCAAAAUCAAUGUGGUUAAAAUUAAAUCGAAAUGAUACUCAACUGGUGGAUUGUUUUAAUAGUUUUGUUCGUCGUAAUCUACGCUUUCAACAAGUGGCUGUGCAAAGACUGAGAUUCAGUUGCAUUUAAGAUUCGCAUUGUCGAUGAUGCCAGUCAGAAAUUUUUUGAAACGUAACCAUUUUUGAACGAACAUGAAAUUACUCGAGAUGAUACGAAGACGAACACCACAACGACGAAUAAUAUGGUAUAAUCGUCCAGUACUUUAAAUUUUUAGUAUUUUUGCGAAAUUUUUGUUUUAUUAGAUCUCAUUAUACGUAUGUAUUAGAAUGAAUAAUAAUGAAUUCGAUAAAUGCACGAUGCAUGUAGAUGUACAAAUAGAUACCUAACCCCUUACCUA